GAACGCUGGCGGUAUGCUUAACACAUGCAAGUCGAACGGCAGCACGAGAAAGCUUGCUUUCUUGGUGGCGAGUGGCGGACGGGUGAGUAAUGCAUAGGAAUCUACCUCGAAGCGGGGGAUAACCCGGGGAAACUCGGGCUAAUACCGCAUAAUCUCUACGGAGGAAAGCAGGGGAUCUUCGGACCUUGCACUUUGAGAUGAGCCUAUGUCAGAUUAGCUAGUUGGUAGGGUAAAGGCCUACCAAGGCAAUGAUCUGUAGCUGGUCUGAGAGGAUGACCAGCCACACUGGGACUGAGACACGGCCCAGACUCCUACGGGAGGCAGCAGUGGGGAAUAUUGCGCAAUGGGCGAAAGCCUGACGCAGCGACGCCGCGUGGGUGAUGAAGGCCUUCGGGUCGUAAAGCCCUGUCGCAGGGGAAGAAUAAGCAUCGGUAUAAUACGCCGGUGCCCUGACGGUACCCUGCAAGAAAGCACCGGCUAACUCUGUG
rnacentral:rRNA from 1 species